CGUCAUUAUUUUUGAACCUCGAAUCAGCAGCAUGAUGGCUAACCGAGUGAUUAAAAAGACUAGGUUUUCUUUCUCUCAACGUGUGGAGGCAUCAGGAGGAAUCUAGGUUUUGUGGAAAAAGGGCUGGUCAGUGCAAGUGCUGGCUCAUCACAGACAGUAUAUUCAUAUGAAAAUUUAUGAAGCCAAUAGUUGUCUCAUGAAUUUUACUAUGGAAUACAGUUGCCCGAGUGCUUUUAUUAGGGCUCUUUUGUGGCCAUCUUUAAAUAGUGUGGCUUCUAAUGUUGUUGGUCUGUGGGCUCUUAUGGGGGACUAGAAC
rnacentral:misc_RNA from 1 species